rnacentral:piRNA from 1 species
UGUUUUACCUCGCCUUGACCCCGAAUG